AAAAAAAUAGGGUCAGAUCCUCAGAACUAUGCCGAGUUUCUGCAAUGUCUUUUGGAAAUUCUGUGUGUUAUUCAGAUGUACUUCAUGGUGCUGUGGGUUGAGCGUAUAGACAGCAGUCACCUGGAGGUUCAUUGGCCUGGCUCAGUUCUGGCGUUUGCACAUUUGCUAAUUGUGAUGGGUAGUACAUUGGGACUAAUCUGUAAUAUUGAUAAUGACUAUAAUGAGAUAAAUGGUAUUGGAUUUUAAAGUAAUCCAUAGCGAUCUGUAUUUUGAUACUUAAACGAUUCUGCUUUUAUAAAUGUAUAUAUAUGUAUAUGGAUGUAUGUAAGUAAUGUUUCAUUUUUUUUCUUUGGCCACGUUUGUCGGAACAAGAGAGCCGGCAGUGUUUGAAAAGCUUCACAUAUCAAUGGUACCCAUCCCUGACCUGUCUUGUGGGUGAAAGGUGAGCGGGAUCGGACUGAGAGAUCUAACUCAGACAGACCUCAAUACAGGCACACAGAAACAGACUGUAAAUAAUCUCGGGCUUCCAGUCUUUUUUAAUUAUUAUUUUUCAUAAUUGUACAACUAAUAAAUGAUAAAAAUGGCAACCAAA